AUCUUCCUGACCUUGGGGUGAAAAACCUGAGGCAUGAUGACUUAUUCCAGUUGGCACAGCUAGCAAAUGGGUCAGACAGCACUCCAACCACCACACUGCCCUCUGGUCCGUCCCUGCUACCUCUGGCUAUUUUAGGAGGGCCACAUGGUGCCCCAGAAAGAGCACCCAAGCCAGAACCUCUCUGAGAUGUAGGGCCUGGUGUUCCAGCCACACACUUUCUGUCUGUGUAACUCGGGGACAGGACGUCCCACCCUUUCUUAGUCCGUAACGCACCUUUGGACAUGAUGGAAUAUACGAAGGGGCCUCCACCCACAGCAUGACCAAUCCCCAGCAUCCAAAAUCGCACACAUACCAAUAUGUGCACACACACACUCACACCCACACCCAUAAAGAUUUUGCACUCCUUGAAGGUACACUAACUCACCAUUUUUAUCAUACUUAUCCCAGUGUGCCACAGUUACUGGCUUAUAUGCCUGUCUCUGCUAUCUUAUUUUAUCUGUCUCCACAACACAGCAAACUACCUGGCCUUCAAUAAAGGGCUUAUGAAUUAUUCAUGAAUCCAUUUUGCCAGGUGCCUAGCCCUGUGUCUGGCUUGAAGCAGGUGUUCCCAAGGUGUGGCAUGGCUGAGUGAAUACAAAUAAAAGGUAUACAAAAGCACUCAGCCCUGCCCUCCUCUCUUCUCCACGCUUACCACCUGCUCCGGUUUCCAGACCCAACAUUGGCAAAGAGCACCGAUGAAACCCAAAAGUUCAGGACACACCCAAGCACGUAAAGGUCAGGCACCUGGGCAGGUCAACAGUGCAGCAUUUUAGCCUGGGUCUUUUGGGGGAAGAGCUUCACAAGGAGCUGCUCUCUAGCCUGACCCAUUCUCCUUGUUCUGUAAGGCCCCUGCCCCCAGCCUUUGGGCUCACUUGCAGCCCUAACCUCCACGAUCCCCCUCUUUGCUUUCUCCAUAAUAAAUUCCCCUUCUAAACAAAGACUGACAGCACCACCUCCACAGCACCUGCACGGUCUCGCCUCCCCUCACCUAGCCUCACCCCUCCAUCAGACUCUCCUGCUGAGGUGGACGAGGUCUUAUACUUUGCUGGCAUCUUGCUCCAGAAAAGGGAUGCAGCUGAGCACACCCCUGCCCUUUUGCAAGCACUCCCUCCCACUUGCAGGAGGGAGAAGGGAAUGGGAGGGAAGGAGAAGAGAGGGCAGGGGAGGGCAAUGCUGCUCCAACAACCACACUCUGGGUGAGCCUGGGGUGCUAGGAUGGCUCCACUGGGCAGGGACGCCAGUCCAGUAAGCUGGAGGCUCCUCAUUUUGCCAGCAGUGAGCUCUACCUGGGACAGGGGUGUCAGUUCCCACCCUCAGGUCUGAGGCUCUGCCUGCCCAGUGAGCACCUCAGCACCCUGGACCACCCUUCCAGGCGCAGGCACCAGGGAAGGGGCAGAGGGACUAACCGAC
rnacentral:lncRNA from 1 species